AUGUUCCUGGUUUUCCCCAUUCUGGACCAUUUUCUCCCUGCUGCUGGUGGCUUAACUGGGAGUCCCUGGCAGCCAGCCCAGUUUGCUCUUCCAGCUAUUUUGCCAGCAAAACAGGAGCUGUUGCUGUUGUGUACCGGGGCUGGAGGUGAGAGCUGUGCAGGAGGUGCUGUGGGCAGCAGUGCUGCUCUCCUUGCCAAACAACAUCGAGGAUGUCCAGCUGCAGGUCUGGCUGGGCCUCUACUGCAGCACAGAAGAUGUCUAGAUGAACGCUGCUGCCAAAUGCAUGCUCAUUUUAGGAUGUAUCUGUCCUCCUCACCUUAUCAGUCUAAGUUCUUCCUUCCUGCAUCUGCUCUGAGGCAAAGCAAUCACGAGUAUUCAGUGUCAGGAGCCAAUUUUUAAUUGUUGCUCUGAUUAAAAGUAUCCCUGACCAGGGUGGUUAAAAGUUGCUGAUACUCAGGACUCAUCCUCCUCAAAGCUCACUUACCCACAUGCAGCAAAUCCUCCCCUCUGCUGCUCCUGUGCCUGAUGAGGAGCGGGGCCAUCCCCAGACAGGCCCAUCCAGCCCAGCUGUGAUGCUGUGAAUUUUCCAGGGUUCCUGCAAACUUUUACAUCCAUCCUCACAGGGGAGAGCUGUCACUUGAGUCACAGGUGCAGUGCCAUGGCCUCCCUUCGCUGGGGACAGCAGGACAAGGAGCAACUUCUUCUCUUGCCAGUGUCUGCUGCGAUCCUCGAUUCCCGUCAUGCACGGUGCGUCAUUUCCCAUGAGUACCUGCCUGUUUCUGCCAUCUGCCAUGAUUUAUAGAAAAUGGGCAGUGAUUAAUAGCCCAGUCAAUGCCGAGUGAAGCCAUUUUCUUUCAUUUACCUGCUCCCUGACCUCCCCACACAGCCCCAGACAGGGGCUGGGAAAGUGUAUUAAUCAUGCACUUAAAAUAUAUUUAAAAGGGGAGAUUGGCUGGGAGCUCAGUGGUAUUUAUGGAGUCACUUUCUACAGAGGAUGCAAGCUAAUUGCCAGAUAAAACAAAUGGGCUCUUUGAAAUGGAAAUGAGUCACUUGGAGGUACUCAAUGUUUGGUCCUUGAGUGAUGCCCCAAACCUACACUCCUCCUGGGGCUCUCUGUCACCUACCUGAGUCCAGUGGCAGCUGCAGCUCUCAGACAAAAAGGAUGAGAUGCCACACCAGCUCAAAGUGUGGGUGUGGUGCUAAGAGAGGCACAGAGAGGUCUGUGCUCCCACUGUAGCAUGGUCACAGCACUGGGACAGGGCCCUGCAAGGGUACAGAGAGAUCCUACCAGGCUGCAAUCCCCCUCAAGAGUGCCUGCAACAGAGAAAGGCUGUUUGGGGAAAAUACCUCGAUUUCUUAUGAGCUGUAUCACUAAAGCACAUGGUGGCAUUUGGCUUCU
rnacentral:lncRNA from 1 species